rnacentral:rRNA from 1 species
AACGAACGCUGGCGGCAUGCCUAACACAUGCAAGUCGAACGAUCCCUUCGGGGAUAGUGGCGCACGGGUGCGUAACGCGUGGGAAUCUGCCCUUGGGUUCGGAAUAACAGUGAGAAAUUACUGCUAAUACCGGAUGAUGUCUUCGGACCAAAGAUUUAUCGCCCAAGGAUGAGCCCGCGUAGGAUUAGCUAGUUGGUGGGGUAAUGGCCUACCAAGGCGACGAUCCUUAGCUGGUCUGAGAGGAUGAUCAGCCACACUGGGACUGAGACACGGCCCAG